rnacentral:rRNA from 1 species
AGAGUUUGAUCCUGGCUCAGAACGAACGCUGGCGGCAUGCCUAACACAUGCAAGUCGAACGAGACCUUCGGGUCUAGUGGCGCACGGGUGCGUAACGCGUGGGAAUCUGCCCUUGGGUUCGGAAUAACAGCUAGAAAUGGCUGCUAAUACCGAAUAAUGACGUAAGUCCAAAGAUUUAUCGCCCAAGGAUGAGCCCGCGUAGGAUUAGCUAGUUGGUGAGGUAAAAGCUCACCAAGGCGACGAUCCUUAGCUGGUCUGAGAGGAUGAUCAGCCACACUGGGACUGAGACACGGCCCAGACUCCUACGGGAGGCAGCAGUGGGGAAUAUUGGAUAAUGGGCGAAAGCCUGAUCCAGCAAUGCCGCGU